rnacentral:tRNA from 1 species
GAGAGUUGGCCGAGUGGUUUAAGGCGCUCGCCUGGAAAGCGUGUAUACUCCAAAAGGGUAUCAAGGGUUCGAAUCCCUUACUCUCC